AUAUCAAUAAGCGGAGGAAAAGAAACUAACAAGGAUUCCCCUAGUAACUGCGAGUGAAGCGGGAAAAGCUCAAAUUUAAAAUCUGUCAGUCUUUGGCUGUCCGAGUUGUAAUCUAGAGAAGCGUUAUCCGCGCUGGACCGUGUACAAGUCUCCUGGAAUGGAGCGUCAUAGAGGGUGAGAAUCCCGUCUUUGACACGGACUGCCAGGGCUUUGUGAUGCGCUCUCAAAGAGUCGAGUUGUUUGGGAAUGCAGCUCAAAAUGGGUGGUAAAUUCCAUCUAAAGCUAAAUAUUGGCGAGAGACCGAUAGCGAACAAGUACCGUGAGGGAAAGAUGAAAAGAACUUUGGAAAGAGAGUUAAACAGUACGUGAAAUUGCUGAAAGGGAAACGCUUGAAGUCAGUCGUCGCGUUGUCCAGGGAUCAACCUUGCUUUUGCUUGGUGUACUUUCUGGUCGACGGGUCAGCAUCAAUUUUGACUAUUGGAAAAAGAUCAGGGGAAUGUGGCAUCCUUUGGAUGUGUUAUAGCCUUUGGUUGCAUACAAUGGUUGGGAUUGAGGAACUCAGCACGCCGCAAGGCCGGGUUUUAACCACGUACGUGCUUAGGAUGCUGGCAUAAUGGCUUUAAUCGACCCGUCUUGAAACACGGACCAAGGAGUCUAACAUGCCUGCGAGUGUUUGGGUGGAAAACCCGAGCGCGUAAUGAAAGUGAAAGUUGAGAUCCCUGUCGUGGGGAGCAUCGACGCCCGGACCAGACCUUUUGUGACGGCUCCGCGGUAGAGCAUGUAUGUUGGGACCCGAAAGAUGGUGAACUAUGCCUGAAUAGGGUGAAGCCAGAGGAAACUCUGGUGGAGGCUCGUAGCGAUUCUGACGUGCAAAUCGAUCGUCAAAUUUGGGUAUAGGGGCGAAAGACUAAUCGAACCAUCUAGUAGCUGGUUCCUG
rnacentral:rRNA from 1 species